rnacentral:rRNA from 1 species
CCCUUAGAUGUUCUGGGCCGCACGCGUGCUACACUGAGUGGAUCAGCGGGUCAGGUUGCGCGAAAGCGUUUCCUAAUCUUUAAAUCCGCUCGUGAUGGGGAUUGACGGUUGCAAUUUUCUGUCAUGAACGAGGAAUACCUUGUAAGCGCGGGUCAUCAUCCCGCGCUGAAUACGUCCCUGCCCUUUGUACACACCGCCCGUCGCCCCUACCGAUUGAGUGGUCCGGUGAGGCUUUGGGAUCUGAGCGGAAAGAGCGUUUCGCUGUUUCUGCUCGGAAAACUCAGUCGAACCUUAUCAUUUAGAGGAAGGAGAAGGCGUAACA